AAUCAAGUGCCUUAAGGGUGUUCGGUGGAUGCCUUGGCGCUGAGAGGCGAUGAAGGACGUGCUACGCUGCGAUAAGCCGUGGGGAGCUGCGAAGAAGCUUUGAUCCGCGGAUUUCCGAAUGGGGAAACCCACCUUCGAUAGCCGGAACUCCAAGACCUCAGUCGAAAGACUGCGGUGUGGGGUUCGACCAGAUAAUGGAAGAUUCCUGGCCUUUAGAUUUCGAUCGAAGAGGUUUUGGAUUUCCGGUUAUCAAGAGAAGGUAUGAGACUUCUGAAUACAUAGGAGGUUUCAAGCAAACCCAGGGAACUGAAACAUCUAAGUACCUGGAGGAAAGGACAUCAACAGAGACUCCGUUAGUAGUGGCGAGCGAACGCGGACCAGGCC
rnacentral:rRNA from 1 species